GAUGAACGCUGGCGGCGUGCCUAAUACAUGCAAGUCGAGCGAACAGACGAGGAGCUUGCUCCUUUGACGUUAGCGGCGGACGGGUGAGUAACACGUAGGUAACCUACCUAUAAGACUGGGAUAACUUCGGGAAACCGGAGCUAAUACCGGAUAAUAUUUCGAACCGCAUGGUUCGAUAGUGAAAGAUGGCUUUGCUAUCACUUAUAGAUGGACCUGCGCCGUAUUAGCUAGUUGGUAAGGUAACGGCUUACCAAGGCAACGAUACGUAGCCGACCUGAGAGGGUGAUCGGCCACACUGGAACUGAGACACGGUCCAGACUCCUACGGGAGGCAGCAGUAGGGAAUCUUCCGCAAUGGGCGAAAGCCUGACGGAGCAACGCCGCGUGAGUGAUGAAGGUCUUCGGAUCGUAAAACUCUGUUAUUAGGGAAGAACAAACGUGUAAGUAACUGUGCACGUCUUGACGGUUCCUAAUCAGAAAGCCACGGCUAACUACGUG
rnacentral:rRNA from 1 species